CCAAGGCGACGACGGGUAGCCGGCUGAGAGGGUGACCGGCCACACUGGGACUGAGACACGGCCCAGACUCUACGGGAGGCAGCAGUGGGGAAUAUUGCACAAUGGGCGCAAGCUGAUGCAGCGACGCCGCGUGAGGGAUGACGGCCUUCGGGUUGUAAACCUCUUUCAGUAGGGAAGAAGCGAAAGUGACGGUACCUGCAGAAGAAGCGCCGGCUAACUACGUGCCAGCAGCCGCGGUAAUACGUAGGGCGCAAGCGUUAUCCGGAAUUAUUGGGCGUAAAGAGCUCGUAGGCGGUUUGUCGCGUCUGCCGUGAAAGUCCGGGGCUCAACUCCGGAUCUGCGGUGGGUACGGGCAGACUAGAGUGAUGUAGGGGAGACUGGAAUUCCUGGUGUAGCGGUGAAAUGCGCAGAUAUCAGGAGGAACACCGAUGGCGAAGGCAGGUCUCUGGGCAUUAACUGACGCUGAGGAGCGAAAGCAUGGGGAGCGAACAGGAUUAGAUACCCUGGUAGUCCAUGCCGUAAACGUUGGGCACUAGGUGUGGGGGACAUUCCACGUUUUCCGCGCCGUAGCUAACGCAUUAAGUGCCCCGCCUGGGGAGUACGGCCGCAAGGCUAAAACUCAAAGGAAUUGACGGGGGCCCGCACAAGCGGCGGAGCAUGCGGAUUAAUUCGAUGCAACGCGAAGAACCUUACCAAGGCUUGACAUGAACCGGUAAUACCUGGAGACAGGUGCCCCGCUUGCGGUCGGUUUACAGGUGGUGCAUGGUUGUCGUCAGCUCGUGUCGUGAGAUGUUGGGUUAAGUCCCGCAACGAGCGCAACCCUCGUUCUAUGUUGCCAGCACGUGAUGGUGGGGACUCAUAGGAGACUGCCGGGGUCAACUCGGAGGAAGGUGGGGACGACGUCAAAUCAUCAUGCCCCUUAUGUCUUGGGCUUCACGCAUGCUACAAUGGCCGGUACAAAGGGUUGCGAUACUGUGAGGUGGAGCUAAUCCCAAAAAGCCGGUCUCAGUUCGGAUUGGGGUCUGCAACUCGACCCCAUGAAGUCGGAGUCGCUAGUAAUCGCAGAUCAGCAACCCUGCGAUGAAUACGCUCCCGGGCCUUGUACACCCCGCCCCGUCA
rnacentral:rRNA from 1 species